rfam:Loxodonta africana unplaced genomic scaffold scaffold_12, whole genome shotgun sequence.
GCAGUGGUGGUUCGGUGGUAGGAUUCCUGCCUUCCAUGAGGGAGACCCGGGUUUGGUUCCUGGCCAAUGCA